rnacentral:rRNA from 1 species
UACGGAGGGGACUAGCGUUGUUCGGAAUUACUGGGCGUAAAGCGCACGUAGGCGGAUUUGUAAGUCAGGGGUGAAAUCCCGAGGCUCAACCUCGGAACUGCCUUUGAUACUGCAAAUCUCGAGUCCGGAAGAGGUGAGUGGAAUUCCUAGUGUAGAGGUGAAAUUCGUAGAUAUAGGAAGAACACCAGUGGCGAAGGCGGCUCACUGGUCCGGUACUGACGCUGAGGUGCGAAAGCGUGGGGAGCAAACAGG